ensembl:lncRNA
CAGUGGAGUUGAUUCCUGUUGGUGGCCAGUCACAGACACUGUCCCCCAGGGCUCAGUACUGGGGCCACUUCAAUUUAACAUCUUCAUUGAUGAUCUUGACAAGGGGAUUGAGCGCUCCCUCGGUAAGUUUGCAGACAACACCAAGUUGGGAGGGAGUGCUGAUCUCCCUGAGGGGAGAAAGGCACUACAGAGGGACCUGGAUAGACUGGAUCAAUGGGCCAAGGCAAACUGUAUGAGUUUCAGUAGGGCCAAGUGUCGGAUCCUGCAUUUUGGUCACAACAACACCAGGCAACCCUACAGGCUUGGGGAGGAGUGGCUGGAAAGCUGCCAGAUGGAAAGGGACCUUGGUGUACUGAUGGACAGUCAUCUGAAUAUGAGCCAGCAGUGUGCCCAGGUGGCCAAGAAGGCCAAUGGCAUCCUGGCUUGUAUCAGGAACGGUGUGGUGAGCAGGACUAGGGAAGUCAUCCUGCCCCUGUACUCGGCCCUGAUGAGGCCUCACCUCAAGUACUUUGUUCAGUUUUGGGCACCUCAGUACAAGAAGGACAUUGAGAUGCUGGAGCAGAUCCAAAGAAGGGCAACAGGGCUUGUGAAAGGCUUGGCGAAUGUGCCCUACGAGGAGACGCUGAAGGAACUGGGGCUGUUGAGUCUGGGGAAAAGAAGGCUGAGGGGAGACCUUCUCGCUCUCUUCCAAUAUCUGAAAGGUGCUUACAGUGAGAGCGGGGUUGGUCUCUUCUCACUGGCGAAAGGUGACAGGAUGAGGGGAAAUGGCCUUAUGUUUCGCCAGGGUAAGUUUAGGUUGGAGAUCAGGAAAUACUUCUUUAUAGGUAGGGUUUUAUAGGUAGGGUCACCAUUUCUGUAUGUGUUUAAAAACCAUUUGGAUGUGGUGCUCAGGGACAUGAUUUAGCGGAGGGUUUUUAGGGUAAUAUGGUUAGGUUGUGGUUGGACUCGAUGAUCUUUAAGGUGUUCUCCAACCUGAGUAAUUCUGUGAUUCUACUAUUCUAUGAAGUUUAAAAAGAAAGAAUCAAUCAAGCCAGUACUUUCACCUUCGAGAACAUAAAUAUUUCUAAAUCGCAUUGCAGUAUUUAGAUUUGUUGAC